rnacentral:rRNA from 1 species
UACGUAGGGGGCGAGCGUUGUCCGGAUUUAUUGGGCGUAAAGAGCUCGUAGGCGGUUCGGUAAGUCGGAUGUGAAAUCUCCACGCUCAACGUGGAGGGGCCAUUCGAUACUGCCGUGACUCGAGUCCGGAAGAGGCGAGUGGAAUUCCUGGUGUAGCGGUGAAAUGCGCAGAUAUCAGGAGGAACACCGAUGGCGAAGGCAGCUCGCUGGGACGGUACUGACGCUGAGACGCGAAAGCGUGGGGAGCAAACAGG